rnacentral:rRNA from 1 species
AUACGUUGGGGGCAAGCGUUAUCCGGAUUUACUGGGUGUAAAGGGAGCGUAGACGGCAAAGCAAGUCUGAAGUGAAAGCCCCGGGCUCAACCCGGGAAUUGCUUUGGAAACUGUUUAGCUGGAGUGCAGGAGAGGUAAGCGGCAUUCCUAGUGUAGCGGUGAAAUGCGUAGAUAUUAGGAGGAACACCGGCGGCGAAGGCGGCUUACUGGACUGUAACUGACGUUGAGGCUCGAAAGCGUGGGGAGCAAACAGGAUUAGAUACCCUGGUAGUCCACGCUGUAAACGAUGAAUACUAGGUGUGGGGGGACUGACCCCCUCCGUGCCGCAGUUAACACAAUAAGUAUUCCACCUGGGGAGUACGACCGCAAGGUUGAAACUCAAAGGAAUUGGCGGGG